GAUGAACGCUGGCGGCGUGCCUAAUACAUGCAAGUCGAGCGAACAGACGAGGAGCUUACUCCUCUGACGUUAGCGGCGGACGGGUGAGUAACACGUGGAUAACCUACCUAUAAGACUGGGAUAACUUCGGGAAACCGGAGCUAAUACCGGAUAACAUGUUUAACCGCAUGGUUCAACAGUGAAAGACGGUCUUGCUGUCACUUAUAGAUGGAUCCGCGUCGCAUUAGCUAGUUGGUAAGGUAACGGCUUACCAAGGCAACGAUGCGUAGCCGACCUGAGAGGGUGAUCGGCCACCUUGGAACUGAGACACGGUCCAGACUCCUACGGGAGGCAGCAGUAGGGAAUCUUCCGCAAUGGGCGAAAGCCUGACGGAGCAACGCCGCGUGAGUGAAGAAGGUCUUAGGAUCGUAAAACUCUGUUAUUAGGGAAGAACAAAUGUGUAAGUAACUAUGCACGUCUUGACGGUACCGAAUCAGAAAGCCACGGCUAACUACGUG
rnacentral:rRNA from 1 species